UCCUGCGUGGUGAACGCCUGCACCGUGCCGUUUUGGCCGGCGCGGGAGAUCGAACGUGCAGCUCGUGCCGCUGCGCCCA
rnacentral:tRNA from 1 species